rnacentral:rRNA from 1 species
UACGAAGGGGGCUAGCGUUGCUCGGAAUCACUGGGCGUAAAGGGUGCGUAGGCGGGUCUUUAAGUCAGGGGUGAAAUCCUGGAGCUCAACUCCAGAACUGCCUUUGAUACUGAAGAUCUUGAGUUCGGGAGAGGUGAGUGGAACUGCGAGUGUAGAGGUGAAAAUUCGUAGAUAUUCGCAAGAACACCAGUGGCGAAGGCGGCUCACUGGCCCGGUACUGACGCUGAGGUGCGAAAGCGUGGGGAGCAAC